AGUGCAAUGGCUGGAGAAUGCCUCAGCAUGGAGCAGCCUCAGCCGACUAAGCAGCCCACAACGGGCAUGGAAAUGCACAACGCCCCGCAUACAAUCUUCAGUGAAAACAGCCACGAGGGCUGUCAGUGCAUUACUCUGAGUCUCAAAGAAGUCACGGGGAA